AGAGUUUGAUCCUGGCUCAGAACGAACGCUGGCGGCAGGCUUAACACAUGCAAGUCGAACGGGCACUUCGGUGCUAGUGGCAGACGGGUGAGUAACGCGUGGGAAUCUACCCUUUUCUACGGAAUAACGCAUGGAAACGUGUGCUAAUACCGUAUGAGCCCUUCGGGGGAAAGAUUUAUCGGGAAAGGAUGAGCCCGCGUUGGAUUAGCUAGUUGGUGGGGUAAAGGCCUACCAAGGCGACGAUCCAUAGCUGGUCUGAGAGGAUGAUCAGCCACAUUGGGACUGAGACACGGCCCAAACUCCUACGGGAGGCAGCAGUGGGGAAUUUUGGACAAUGGGCGCAAGCCUGAUCCAGCAAUGCCGCGUGAGUGAAGAAGGCCUUCGGGUUGUAAAGCUCUUUUGUCAGGGAAGAAACGGGUGAGGCUAAUAUCCUCAUCUAAUGACGGUACCUGAAGAAUAAGCACCGGCUAACUACGUGCCAGCAGCCGCGGUAAUACGGAGGGUGCGAGCGUUGUCCGGAUUUAUUGGGUUUAAAGGGUGCGUAGGCGGUUUAUUAAGUCAGUGGUGAAAGACGGUCGCUCAACGAUUGCAGUGCCAUUGAUACUGGUAGACUUGAGUUCGAAUGAGGUAGCUGGAAUGGAUAGUGUAGCGGUGAAAUGCAUAGAUAUUAUCCAGAACACCAAUUGCGAAGGCAGGUUACUAAUUCGAUACUGACGCUGAUGCACGAAAGUGUGGGGAUCAAACAGGAUUAGAUACCCUGGUAGUCCACACUGUAAACGAUGAUGACUAACUGUUUGCCUUUCGGGGUGAGUGGUACAGAGAAAUCGUUAAGUCAUCCACCUGGGGAGUACGCCGGCAACGGUGAAACUCAAAGGAAUUGACGGGGGUCCGCACAAGCGGUGGAGCAUGUGGUUUAAUUCGAUGAUACGCGAGGAACCUUACCAAGGCUUAAAUGUAGAUUGACAGGUUUGGAAACAGACUUUUCUUCGGACAAUUUACAAGGUGCUGCAUGGUUGUCGUCAGCUCGUGCCGUGAGGU
rnacentral:rRNA from 1 species